GAAUUCGAUACGAACACGAAUAAGUCUAAUCCAAACCCUAUAUUUUCGUGUCUUAUUCAUGUCGUGUAUGUGGGUCGUGUCCAAAAUUACCACCUUAGUUAGGGGUCAAGGCUCCCGUUAUUUCUUUUAUAUAUUGCCUUUUCUGUCAUUUUCUGAGAACCUUGAACAAGGUUCAAUUAUGUCGUGUAUGUGGGUAGUGUCCAAAAUUGCCACCCUAGUUAGGGGUCAAGGUUCGUGUUAUUUCUUUUAUAUAUUGCCUUUUCUGUCAUUUUCUGAGAACCUUGAACAAGGUUCAAUUAU
rnacentral:misc_RNA from 1 species